CGGGUUGAUCCUGCCGGAGGUCACUGCUAUCGGGGUUCGACUAAGCCAUGCAAGUCGAGAGGGGUAAAGCCCUCGGCGAACUGCUCAGUAACACGUGGAUAACCUGACCUAGGGUGGAGGAUAACCCCGGGAAACUGGGGAUAAUACUCCAUAGGCUACGGAAGCUGGAAUGCUCUGUAACCGAAAGCUCCGGCGCCCUAGGAUGGGUCUGCGGCCGAUUAGGUUGUUGUUGGGGUAACGGCCCAACAAGCCGAUCAUCGGUACGGGAUGUGGGAGCAAGAGCCCGGAGAUGGAUUCUGAGACAUGAAUCCAGGCCCUACGGGGCGCAGCAGGCGCGAAAACUUUACAAUGCGGGAAACCGUGAUAAGGGGACCCCGAGUGCCUGUACACGCAGGCUGUUCAGGUGUUUAAAACGCAUCUGGAGAAAGGGCCGGGCAAGACCGGUGCCAGCCGCCGCGGUAAUACCGGCGGCUCGAGUGGUGGCCACUAUUACUGGGCUUAAAGCGUCCGUAGCCGGGUUGUUAAGUCUCCUGGGAAAUCCAACGGCUCAACCGUUGGGCGUUCAGGGGAUACUGGCAAUCUAGGGAUCGGGGGAGGUGAGAGGUACUCUAGGGGUAGGAGUGAAAUCCUGUAAUCCUUGGGGGACCACCUGUGGCGAAGGCGUCUCACCAGAACGACUCCGACGGUGAGGGACGAAAGCCGGGGGAGCAAACCGGAUUAGAUACCCGGGUAGUCCCAGCUGUAAACGAUGCGCGUUAGGUGUAUCGGUGACUACGAGUUACCGAGGUGCCGAAGGGAAACCGUGAAACGUGCCGCCUGGGAAGUACGGUCGCAAGGCUGAAACUUAAAGGAAUUGGCGGGGGAGCACCACAACGGGUGGAGCCUGCGGUUUAAUUGGAUUCAACGCCGGGA
rnacentral:rRNA from 1 species